rnacentral:rRNA from 1 species
UACAUGGGGUGCAAACGUUGCUCGGAAUUAUUGGGCGUAAAGCGCCCGUAGGCGGUUCGUUAAGUCGGAUGUGAAAGCCCUCGGCUCAACUGAGGAAGUGCACCCGAAACUGGCGAGCUUGAGUACGAAAGAGGAUCGCGGAAUUCCCGGUGUAGAGGUGAAAUUCGUAGAUAUCGGGAGGAACACCAGUGGCGAAGGCGGCGACCUGGGCCAAUAUUGACGCUGAGGUGCGAAAGCGUGGGGAGCAAACAGG